rnacentral:rRNA from 1 species
CCUACGGGUGGCAGCAGUGAGGAAUAUUGGUCAAUGGUCGUAAGCCUGAACCAGCCAAGUCGCGUGAGGGAUGAAGGUACUAUGGAUCGUAAACCUCUUUUGUAAGGGAAUAAAGUGUGGGACGCGUCCCCCUUCGCAUGUACCUUAUGAAUAAGGAUCGGCUAACUCCGUGCCAGCAGCCGCGGUAAUACGGAGGAUCCGAGCGUUAUCCGGAUUUAUUGGGUUUAAAGGGUGCGUAGGCGGGCUUUUAAGUCAGCGGUGAAAGUCUGUGGCUCAACCAUAGAAUUGCCGUUGAAACUGGCAGGCUUGAGUAGGUGUGAGGGAGGCGGAAUGCGUGGUGUAGCGGUGAAAUGCAUAGAUAUCACGCAGAACUCCGAUUGCGAAGGCAGCAUGCCAACCCCACACUGACGCUGAGGCACGAAAGCGUGGGGAUCGAACAGGAUUAGAUACCCUUGUAGUC